rnacentral:rRNA from 1 species
CAGUCUCCGCGGUAAUACGUAGGGUGCAAGCGUUAAUCGGAAUUACUGGGCGUAAAGCGUGCGCAGGCGGUUCGCUAAGACAGAUGUGGAAUCCCCGGGCUCAACCUGGGAAUGGCAGUGGAUACUGGCUCGCUAGAGUGUGUCAGAGGAUGGUGGAAUUCCCGGUGUAGCGGUGAAAUGCGUAGAGAUCGGGAGGAACAUCAGUGGCGAAGGCGGCCAUCUGGGACAACACUGACGCUGAGGCACGAAAGCGUGGGGAGCAAACAGGAUUAGAUACCCCGGUAGUCCCUGUCUCUUAUAC